rnacentral:tRNA from 1 species
GGGUUUCUGGUGAAAUAUCACAGUGCCUUGUCAAGGCACAAUUGUAGGUUAAACCCCUACGAAACCUU